rnacentral:rRNA from 1 species
GAUGAACGCUGGCGGCGUGCCUAAUACAUGCAAGUCGAGCGAACGGACGAGAAGCUUGCUUCUCUGAUGUUAGCGGCGGACGGGUGAGUAACACGUGGAUAACCUACCUAUAAGACUGGGAUAACUUCGGGAAACCGGAGCUAAUACCGGAUAAUAUUUUGAACCGCAUGGUUCAAAAGUGAAAGACGGUCUUGCUGUCACUUAUAGAUGGAUCCGCGCUGCAUUAGCUAGUUGGUAAGGUAACGGCUUACCAAGGCAACGAUGCAUAGCCGACCUGAGAGGGGGAUCGGACACAAUGGAACUGAGACACGGUCCAGACUCCUACGGGAGGCAGCAGUAGGGAAUCUUCCGCAAUGGGCGAAAGCCUGAAGGAGCAACGCCGCGUGAGUGAUGAAGGUCUUCGGAUCGUAAAACUCUGUUAUUAGGGAAGAACAUAUGUGUAAGUAACUGUGCACAUCUUGACGGUACCUAAUCAGAAAGCCACGGCUAACUACGUG